ACCUCAAAGUGCCAGCUUGGCAGGAGACAUCAAAGGCUGCAGCUGAGGCCUUGUUUUCCUCGCGGCCCACCUGGGGAGUGGAAAGCUGAGGAGCCCCCCAGGGAACAGCGGGUGGUAGAGAGGGGUGAGGUCUUCGGGCCAGCCCGGCGUCCUCCUGGUCCAUCUUCCUGAGCUGGGUCAGGGGACCAGGCCCUUUCUGGACACCCCUGGAAAAUGGCAUCAACUUAAGAGAAGCACCUGGCCAGGGGACUCUGGAGCCAGGCUGCCUGGGUUCAAAUCCUGACAUUGGCCCUCACUGGCUGUGUCACUCUGGAGAGUUUGCUGAACUUUCCUGUGCCUCAGUUUCCCCAUCUGACGAUAAUAGUACACACUUCACGGAGACUUUGUUUGAAUGAAGUGAUCUCAUAUGUGCCAGGUGCUCCCCGCAGCCCCAAUCACGGGCCAUGCACCGUGUUCGUCAUGGAAAUCUUCUCAGCUUAAAUAUCUGCGGAGCGUCCAGGCCAUGAUUGAGGAGCUGAGGUUGCAGAGAUAAAUCUGAUUUAGUUCCUGCCCCAGGGAGCUUCAAGGUCAAGGGGCCACAAGGGAACAGUCGCUCCUCUAUCCCCGCACCCAGCACGGAGGCCCGCACGUCUGAUCCUUUCUGAGUGCUGGAAGGCAGCAGGCCCUGAGCCCCGCGCACCGUGUGCAUGACACCCGUCCAGCAUCUCUGCACCCGGAUGGAGUCAGUAGUUCAUUCUCUGUGUUCGGAGAAGCAAACAGAGGCUCAGAGAGGCCAGCCCAGGGUCCCACAGCUGGAGUUCUUCAAGUUUUCCAAGCACCUCUACGACCUUCUUCAGAGAAGAAGAAGACUGGCCACUAGUCUUUGCUUGUGCUCUCCCAGGACCCGGGAACUCAUCACCUCCCAGGACAGCCUACUCCAUUAUGGAUCAGCUCGAAAAAGUGCUGCUUU